UGGCUCAGACAGUAAAGCAUCUGCCUGCAAUGCAGGAGACCGGGGUUCGAUCCCUG
rnacentral:tRNA from 1 species